rnacentral:rRNA from 1 species
UGGGGAAUUUUGGACAAUGGGCGAAAGCCUGAUCCAGCAAUGCCGCGUGUGUGAAGAAGGCCUUCGGGUUGUAAAGCACUUUUGUCCGGAAAGAAAUCCUUGGCUCUAAUACAGUCGGGGGAUGACGGUACCGGAAGAAUAAGCACCGGCUAACUACGUGCCAGCAGCCGCGGUAAUACGUAGGGUGCAAGCGUUAAUCGGAAUUACUGGGUGUAAAGCGUGCGCAGGCGGUUUGCUAAGACCGAUGUGAAAUCCCCGGGCUCAACCUGGGAACUGCAUUGGUGACUGGCAGGCUAGAGUAUGGCAGAGGGGGGUAGAAUUCCACGUGUAGCAGUGAAAUGCGUAGAGAUGUGGAGGAAUACCGAUGGCGAAGGCAGCCCCCUGGGCCAAUACUGACGCUCAUGCACGAAAGCGUGGGGAGCAAACAGGAUUAGAUACCCUGGUAGUCCACGCCCUAAAACGAUGUCAACUAGUUGUUGGGGAUUCAUUUCCUUAGUAACGUAGCUAACGCGUGAAGUUGACCGCCUGGGGAGUACGGUCGCAAGAUUAAAACUCAAAUGAAUUGACGGGGUCAUAGCUGUUUCCU